AGUGGAGACUUUUUAGAACACGGAAUGACUCCAACAAGGGUCAGACUCUAACAACCAAACAACAACAAUCAACAACUACUUCACAGUUCUCAGAGAUCAGCCCUGCCACGGGAAACGCACAGUAAAGCAAGAGCAGGGUUGACAUUCUCUGUGAAAUGGCAUCAGGCAUGACUCUGGAGCAAUCUUACAGAUGGAUAGCCUUGAUCUCCUUCCACCAGUUGGCUAAAGGAUUGAAUUUUUUACUAUCUGUAGGAGAUAGUCUAUGAUCUUGUUCCAAAUAUCUGAAUAAACUUUAAGAACCACAGUGCAAUCACUUGGACACGAUCCCAGAUCCAUCCGUCCAUUCAUCCAUCCACCCAUCCAUCCAUCAUUCACGAUUGACUCAAUAUCCUGCUGGGAGCUGGGAAAAAAGAGACAUGAAGUAUCCCUGCCUCUGAGCAGCUUUCAGUGCAGAUGGUAUGCCAGGGACAAUAUACAAGACAGAAUAGAGUUCAUUCAAGUAUUCUAUGUUUUGUUAUUUAGUUUUCAAAUAUGAACCCUGGAUGGAACCAGGCUUUGUUCCCCCAAGUUAUCAGCUAAAGAGAAAGAGCUCAGCCAAGUGACAAGGUGUUGCCGCAGUGAUAACUCAAUUUUGUGGUUUUCAGAAAUGCAGAAGAAAGAAGGUUGGAAAGAAUGGGCUGGCACUCCCCGAAGAGUGGGGCUCAAAGUUCUGGUCUCAGCAGAUCUUUGAGGGAGACGUAGGGUCUAGGCCGGCAAAACCAGAGAGAAGGAUAGGCUUUUAGAUGCUCAUCCCACCCAAAACCAUGAAAUAAUCUCCCCUGUCUCCUGAUUAGUAUUUGUCAGCCUCAUUUACCCUUAAGAUUUGUGCAAAUGAAAAACGUUAAAUGCAGUUCCUGGAUCAGUAAUUAAACAUAAUUAUUUCAGUGGAAGAGAUUUUUGUUUUCAUAAUCUCCUCUUUGUCUGCAUAGAGCCAGCUCUUGGUUACAUCUGCCACUGAUAGCCUUUGCUCUGUUUACUUUAAAGAAUAAGCCACUGUUUGAUUUGGUUUCUUGUUUUCAAUAUGUAAACCCUGGUCUCUUGAUUCCCCAUUCCAGGAAGGAAAAAAUAAAAGAACAAGGCUCUUUAAAUAUCAGAGCCAUGAUGACUUAACAGAUACACGCAGGCUCAAUAUUUUAUGUAACAGCCACUUAGGAAAAUGCGUAAGAAUUUCCCAGCUGGCAGCCCUGAUUUGGCAGGUGUACCUCAAUUGAACCAAUCGCUUUUCAUCUGGCUGUCAAUUUGUUUGGUUUUUCUGGCUACAUUGCACCAGAGUCUGUGUGUAUUCCAAAAGGUCGUUCACCUAUUCCACGGUUCAAAGGGAUCAUUCUGUUCACUUAAAGGGUCACUGUAAUCAUAUAUUGAAACAUAGCUAAGUACGAUGAGCUAGAAUUUUAGGAGGGGUAAAACUAAUAGGAAAAUCCAGGAGUAUAAACCACAAAACACACAUAAAAAAAGAGAUAAAAACAGAAAACAUAAUUCCUCAAUUAAAAAAAAAAAGGAACCAAAAAGAAAAAAAAUCUAUAACAAACCACACUGUAGGAGUCUCACUAUACACUAAAAUUAACAAUCACAGCUGGGGUAAAUACUUUAUUUAUUUUAUUCAUAUUCUGCACUGGCAGCAUAUUCUAGUUGCCUGUUUGAUUUCAUUAAUCCAAAGCAAAAGAGAAGUAGAGAUUUAUGUAAAUUUCAUGUUAUGCUCAGAUUGUAAGGGAGCCACUAAUUGAACUUCAGGUCUUCCUUAUUGGAAGGAAGACCUGAAGAUGAAUGGCUUCAUGAAAUAAUCGUAAAUGAAUAAUUCCCCCACAUCCGUAAGUCAGCCUACUUCUGUAAACAGAAAAACAAGGUAGUAGUCCCAUAGUCUAUUUUUUAAUCCAGAAAAAGUCAUUCUUGCAGCAAGAAUAAGGGAAACUAUGUCCCAAAAAUACCAGGUUUUCCAGAUAUAGGGAUCAUGUUUGACCAAAACAACCCUUGGCCUAAAAAUACUGCUAUAUUCAAAUAAGAGGAGUUGCUGUUAUUUAAUUUUACUAUACUAUUUAUACUUACAUGGGAUUUUUAUAAUGAUACUACUGUGGUUUUCACAGAUGUUUGGCUUGUAAAAAUGCUAAAGAUUACAAUCUUUAGGUCACCAACUACCUGUAUUUAUGGAGGCUACAGGACAGAGCACAGAACAGCCAGGAAGCCAAAACGCGCUCGAAUUACCUCCAGCACUUACUGCCGCGGGACUCAAACCCGAGUCCUUUCUGGGACUGCUUUUCCUUGAACAUAAAAAUGGGGGUGAUAUCACCUUCCACAGGGAUCUCCUAACUGUACAGAGGGCUUAGCACACUGUCUGGCACUCAGAGGCCUUGCUGGAUCGUGAUCCGCCCCCUCCAGUCAGCGACUGAGACCCCUCACUGGUUCAAGGGCAAACACAGUGCUGAGAGCUGUGUGCCUGGAUCCCGCCAGCAGGUGUGCUGGGGUAGGGAAUGGAAGUCAGGCAUCUUGAUCUCCAUAUGUAUCCACCGAUGGACACCCUGCCUGCCUUUCACUGGGCUCACCCUAAAAUGGUGAACAAAGAAAACAGCUCUCACCUCUGGAGCCAACACGGAGGGGUGGGUAUGAGUGCAGAUGUGGUGGGGGUGCUGGUGGAGGCUUGCUGCCCAUCUGGCUUUUCCUGUUAUUGACAUGCUCAGAUGAAAGUGGGCCCUGUUCACAAACAUGGCAUCCAUUCCUGGGACUCAUCCCGAGCAGAACCUCAAAUAAAAACCAGAACAAACUACACUAAUUUGCUGAACCCCAAAUGGAGCCAAAUUCAAAGCUCUUACGAAACUACAAACAGAACCACAGUUUCAAAAACACCAGGAAAAUAGUCUCAACAAGACAUUACCUACAUGAAGGAUGUCUGAAAUCUAUUUUAGUGUAAAAAUGCUAUAAGUUUACUCUCCUACUUUCUAAAAUUACUGAAUUAGUUAUUAAAAUAACAACCUAAGUAAUCUGACUGUAAAUUGAGCCAUAUUUUAUUUACCCUAAGAUCUCUCAAUCAAAUGGAGAUAUAACAAGGGUUAUCAAUUUCUACUGCAUCUAUUCCUGUAACAUAUUAAAUCUCCAUCUCCUUGAGAGAAGUACAUUGAUUUUUCCACAGGAGAAUUUUUUUCUAGCUCCAAGAACAGCUGAGGGCUGCAAAACUGAGCAGAUGGCCACAUGGAAGAAUCUGCUUGGUUGAUAAGAUAGUUUAAAAGAAAAAUCACCUGACUGCACAUCCCAAAUACCUGUCAAAGUAGGUCAUGAACACUGCUUGAUUGGAACAAACCAAAAUAUUUAAUGGAUCGAAUCUUCCAGAGUUCAUGAUAACUGCCCCACCAAAGGUCUGGGCUUAAGCACUGAUGUUUCCUUUAAUUAUAAAGCCCAGAUUGUAAGGCAAACACAGCCCUGCCAGUGUGUUUGUAGGUCCAGUCAGUGACUGUGCUGCGUCCACAAUGGUCUUUAUCAUUGUCACUUGUUUGACCUGACUAUAACUGAGUAAAGCAUCAUCAUUACAAAAUGCAGCAUGCGGGAUAGUAAUCACCUAAAGAUAUGGUUCAAGCACUUCACCAACCUCUGAACCUGAAUAUGCCUAAUGAAUUUUGUAAACCUUACAAAAAGUGAAGCCAGGUGAUUAUCAGAAAAAAGACAUGUGUCAUACUAAAGAAAGAGCAUGUUCUGGACCUGAGAAAACAGCAGUGCAGAAGGGAAUGUCUUUUCUCCACAGUGAUAUGUGGCCACAGCCUUGAACAGCAAAUUUGCAGAUUAAUGAAGAUAGUAAAAUAGAUCACAUCCUCCUGCCUCCAGGUAUAAUAUUUUAUUCAUAUAAGAGCUAUGUGAGCCUUGAUUUAUAUGAACUUUCAUUAGUAGGCAAAAUUCAAUCAUAAGGUUUCCUCUUUUCACCUCUAGGCGUCCUUAAAUUCAACACACAGUCAAAUGGUGAUUGGCUUCCCCUCUCCCUAGGUAAUACCCCACCCCCCAGCCUCCCAAAAAAGACAGAAAAAGAGGAAAAUGAAAAACAAGCACGUUAGAAAGGUGGCCAGACAAAACGGUUUGCAUCAACAACAUAACUUCUGAUUUGUUCUCCCGCUGGGACAGUCUAAUGCAGCCUCAUUCAGCUGUGCAUUUUCAAUAUUAUUCAACAGAGCCCACUCAGGUCAAAGUAGAGUCUUUUCCUUCACAAGUACAGAGAUACAACACUAGGUUUACGGGAGGGCUAUUUUCAAUCUUCUUGAGCGGUAAUGUGUUUCCAUUAUGGUUCCAUCUAUUUGUGAUCUAUAAUGCUUUCCAAAUAGCCCCAAAUUUCAAAGAAGCUCUAGUUGGUUCCAAAUGGAAAUGAGAUUACAUAUUUAGUAUUAUUUUAUUCUCAAAUGUUAGAUUUAAUUAGGUUGGGAGCAUUCAUUCAUCUGCCCAUUGUGUUUGUUGACUUCAUUAAGGGACAAUCACAGAAUUGCAGGGAAGUCCACGUAGGGCCCCCCAAACUGCGAUUGCUUUUAGCUUUUAUAAACCAUUAAAAUGUAAGUCAAGCACAUAAAUAUAUCUGCUAUGAAAAGAAGUGGUAUUGCUAAGUUCCCUGAUAGAUGAUGACAGGACUUCUCAGAAUUCGAAGGCCAGUGUUUUAAUCUUCAGGUUCUCUCAGGUCACGUGCUUGCCAAUGACAUUGGACCAGGAAUCUCCAGAGGUGAGAAAGCCCCGGCCAACCCCAAAUGCAGCUCUUGCUUGGUGAAAGCAGAGAUGGGGUGAGGACAGGGACACAGGCAGAACCCUGCCGCGCUCCAGCUGAGCUGCUCACUUGCCACUCCCAGAGAAAACAGGAGGAUCGACCUUUCUCUAUGCAACGUCUAAAAUUAAUUUGGUGCUUAAAAUCAGAGGUGGGUCAAGCAGUUGAUUACCUGAGGUUGCCUUUGGACUAACAAAGGCGUCUCUUCAGCAUGGUGAAUUGCUCUGAUGGCCCUGGGCCCGGAGCAGUGAUUUGAGAAAAUCACCCAUGGCAACCAUUAGGCAAUGAGUCUCCAUUGACUGCCAAAAUCUCACUGAAUAUUGAAGGAAAAGAGAAUUUAUAUGUAAUCCAAUUCAGAGCAACAACAACAACAACAUCAACAAUUCAAUGUUCCCCAGUUCUUCAUGGGAAAACUUCAAUCCAGGUCCAAAGAGAGCUGCAAGAACAGCGCAGUUCACACAGAAAGUCUGCAUUCACAGGCUGGGCUGGGGUCGCAACUCUGCGGGCCUCCCCACCCUGCCACGCUUUGUACUGCUGUGUGAUUUUAGCGGAGGCAUUUAGCUCACACAGCCUUAGUUUCCUCAUCUGUAAAAUUGAAUAGCUACCUUCUAGGCUUUGGGAGAAUGCAAUGGAAAAAGAAUCUUGCCUAGGGCAUCAUCAGCUCAGUAAAUAAUAGUUAUUAUCAUGAUGAUUAUCCUCCAGGUAGCUGUGAUGUGUAGAAGCCCAGAACCAAGUAGCACAGGAGACAGAGGUAGUUAAUUCAACCCUCCUCCAAUACAACUGAGUGCCCUAAUUAUCCGAAUAGAAGCUCCACUGCAGGAAAACUCUGUUUUGGAGCUCAAGGAAAGACCUACAAGGGAGAACCACAGAGCUGUAAUUAUCAGCUGAAAGAGGAAGGAAGUUCUAAUCUCACAGAGCCCUUGGAGACUUGUGAACACCCGAAGCUUGGAGAAGGCUUCAACAGGGAACAAACGGUGAAAGCCACACAAAAAUGAACUUAGCAGCAGGAAGGAGUACUCCACGUGCCCCUGCACCUCUCACCAAAGGGAUACAGAUAUGUGAUGGGUGUUUCUGUAAUAUAUGCCUCAUUUUCCAAUGGAAAACCUCCAUAUACACAUGAGUGCAUGGAGAGGUCAUAGUCACUGGUCAAGGAGUUAGAGAUGAGUGGGGAAAAGUGAUAGGGUGAGCAUCCUCAAUCUGGCCCCACCCUAUCUGGCGCCAGACACCUAAUGAACCACCUUUACUGGGGGAGACAGGGUCAAGGAUGAAGCAAUUUCCUCUUCAUAUCUAGCUAUCAUUUAUUCUACAUAGUUGAUGCAGGCAAUAUGCUGGCUGUUUGAAGCAGGUGAUAUUUCUAAUCCACACAAUGGCCUGAAAGGUAAGUAUUAUGGAAUCACUUAUCUGGAUAAAUAAAACAUGAGGUUCAGAGAGAUUACGUAACUGGCCUAGAUCAAUAGGUGGGUAGGCAGACAGGUAGGCAGGUAGAUAGAUAUAGAGAUUGAAAUAUACUUUAAAAACACUCUGUUUGCCCUACAUUCCUUGCUUUAGAUAGGAUUCUGAAUGUGGGGCGGGCAGGAAAGCUGUCAGUCACGAAGGGAGCCUGCCCACCACAAGGCGAGUCAUGUGACCCAGGCCAGAGAAUCAGGUUACCCCACAGGGAACAUCAGUGAUUGGCCCAGGGGUAAGCAGGUAGCUCAUGUAGCACCAGAGUCAUAUUUUUGAAGUUUUUAUGGAAGUUGGAAAGAUCUCUUUUGGAAAUUACCAACUCCAGAGAGGAUGUUAGCCUGGGAGUGCCAGGAACUUUCUGUGUCACUGGGGAAAGCGAGACUUGAUUCUCCGGAUAUCAUUGACCAUCUGGGUCCUGUGGUGCCUGACGCUAUGAGUUCUCAAAGUGGGGCCCCCAAAGCAGCAGCAGCAGCCUCAUGGCCUUGCUGGAAAUGCGAAUUCUCAACCUCAGCUCCCAGACUCACUGCAUUACAAACUCUGGAAGAUGGAGCUGACUCAGUGAGAUCUCUUUCCAAGCUCUCUAGAUGGGCCUGAUGCUUAUUUUGAAAAGCACUGUUCUAGGUCAAUCCAGGGAACUGUUAAACUUCAUGAGCCAAUAGAUACCCCUCUUCUUGCCUAAACUUUGAUUAUAAUAAAAGAAAAAUACAGCAAGAUAGUUUUGAGGGUUUUUUAAUAAAAAUUUACAAUUAUUUUUUAAUCGCAAGUAAACUUAAUUAUUUUACCAUUAAAACCUCUUCAACACAGAAAUUCCUUUGAGGUUUUUAGUUUUGUUCUGUGUUUGUUUGUAUGUGAGGCAAGACACCCCUGGAUGCUUGCAAAGAAGAGGCAAUUUGAAGUGAAACAGGCAGAUGUACAAUCUGAUCCCAUAAGUGACCCACUGCAGAACAGACAGCUGGACAUAUGGACAUAUGCAGCUGCCUGUCAUUUAUACACGAGAGUUAAACAGUUGGCAAAGAGAGUCUGGGCCACAGAGUGGUGAGCUGGCUAGAGGUGCGGAUCUAGCCAUUGGAUAACACUGUACUUAAAACACAAAACUCUAUCCAAGAAGAGGAAAUGAUUGAAUACGAAGUAUUUGAAAAAAGAUUUGAAAGACUGAAAAUGAAACACUUCCUUACAUUCGCUAAGUGAGCUGAGAAAGAAUUGCCCAGAAGGGUGAUACGGAGGGCUAGAGAAUGAAGACGACAGGGAGUGGAAGGAGAGAGCCCACCUACAUGGCACCCAGCUUUGCAGAGGCUCCUGAAGACACAAGGUUGAAGGCCCUGGACUCAAAAAUUUCCUUGACUCUGCCAGGCAAGAGGGUUAGCUGUUUCAGCAGAGGGUAGAGCCAAGCGAAAGCUGGAGAGUGAAUAAGAAAUGCUAGGAGCAAUUGCGUCAGGUGGGGCAACCAGGACUGUGUUUGCCUUCGGACCAGGGCUGCCGAGUACAGAUAGCAGGUGGUUUAUGUGAGGCCUGGAGCAGGGGUCAUUGCAGGAGACGGGGUUGCUGUGUGCCUAUAAAUGGAGUGAAAAAGGUCACUCAUCUAUUCAUCCAACAAAUAUUCAACAAGCACCUGUUACAUACCAGAUUAUUACAUACAUGUGGCAGUGCACGUAACUGUGAAGCUGUGUACUACAGCUGCAGGGCGAGGACUGGGGCUUUAGCUCCCACCUUGUGCAAUGUGGGAUCUUCUCCAUCGUCAUAUCAAGCCACCCCACGUGUAUUUAAUGUAAGUUGGAACACUGUGCUUGCUACAAAAGUCAGCUUCAGAAGAAGCCCCUCCGUGGAUCACCACCUCCCUACAAGCUGCAGUCCUAAUCUCCUAUGUCAAAAUCAGGGACUGCUGCUGCCCCGGGGGGUUUAGAGAUGAAGACCCAGACUCUGACUGAGGAGUCUCCCAGUGAAAGGAAGGAGGCAGAAGCCCAGUCACCAGUGACGCCACCCAGCUGAGUGGACCGCGCAGAGGGAGGCGGACGCAGGGCACUCCAACAUGGACCUGAGAGGCACACACUGCAAUGCAAAUCCUCCACGAUAGUCCACAGGAUGUACUGGGAGAAACUGGAAGGCCACAGGAGAAACGUUUGCUCACGAAAACACAGGCAUUUCAUGUGCCUGGAGCACGGGAUGAAGAAUUCCUUAGACUUUGAGUGCCAAGCUAGUGCUUGGACUUUCUUCUAAAGGUCAUGGGUGAGCCCUUGGGGAAUGUGGAGACCACUCCGGCCUGCGAUGGAGAAGGAAAUUGUGCCAGAAGCUGGGAAGUCAAAGUUAACCCUCCAGGCUAGAUUGCUUGAAAUAGGUGUGCAAACAAUUCACAUAUUAUAAAUACGUUGACUUGGGCCGGGUGUGGUGGCUCACGCCUGUAAUCCCAGCACUUUAGGAGGCUGAGGCAGGAGGAUUACUUGAGGUCAGGAGUUCCAGACAAGCCUGGCCAACAUUGCAAAACCCUCUCUCUACUAAAGUACAAAAAUUAGCCGGGCAAGGUGGUCCGUGCCUGUAAUCUCAGCUACUCAGGAGGCUGAGGCAGGAGAAUCGCUUAAACCCAGGAGAUGGAAGUUGCAAUGAGGCGAGAUCACAACAACCCACUCCAGCCUGGGCGACAGAGCAAGACCCUGUCUCAAAUAAAUAACUAAAAUGAAAAUAAAUAAAUUGAUUUGUUUUCAUUCAUAUAUUUUGGGGAUACAAUGGAGCUUAAAGUUUGAAAACCAAAACGGAGCUGGCCACCAAAGGUGUGGAUUUGGUCAACAGGGUGUGGACUCCAGCAGCCCGUGUCACUCUCAGACUCCAUGUCUCAAUUUGAAUGUUUCCAUGUCACUUAAAAAGUAGAAUAUUCAUAGUGAUGUUGAAGAUACAAAAGAUAUACCAGGAUUAAUUUUCUAGUCAAUUUUAUGUGUCUGUGACCCAAGACAAUAAAAGUUAAGUCAUCGUUAGUUCCUUAGUUGCUGGACACUUUAGCCCAAUAUACCACCUUCAAUUUUGAAUUAUUAUUUGGACUGUGUUCAUGAGAUUCUUGGAGUAUGUUAAAUCAACACAUUUCUUUGUAAUUAUUGAGAACCUUUUGUUCCCUAUAAAAUCAAGUGUACGAUGAUGUAAACUAUAAAACGCAAAUUGUAGGGACAAUUGGUAAUCUGCAGUGAAAAUAAAGUCAAAAUAGCAAAGAGCAGAUUAUUCUCAAAUUUAUGUAACAGAGUUCUUACAUGUGGAAGUGGAUACAAGUAUUAGCACAUUCAGUUGAUGUACUGAAAAUAAAAUGAAACUAUUUUUCUACUUACUACUUGCUUGUGAAAUCCAAAGGGGUGAAUAAGAGCCAGGAUUCAUUGUCAUGAGUGUAGGGGUGCCCUGGGAAGGAGGCCUCCAUCCCACGUGUCAGUGGCGUCAUCAGAAAUUCCAUGAUCGUCGGCUUAUUCUUUGCACACGUGUCUACAGGGUCCCUCCGCACACCGACUUGGUGUCCUCCAGGAUGCAGAAAACCCAAAUUAAACUAGUUUAAUGAAUAAGGAAACUAAGUGGCUCUUAGGACCAUAAGCCCUGCGGUGACGCCUGCUUCAGGGCUGGAGGAGCUAAGUGUUCUCUGGUUCACCAAAGCCCCCAGUUCUUUCCGUCUGUCACUCAUAGCUUCGGCUUCGUCCCCGGCUCACUGCCAGUGGUAAUCAGGCUGCCCAAGAACUUCUGAAAUCCACAGCCCGGUGUUUCCAAACGAAUUAUCAGUAGGGUUGGAAUCCCUUCUCCCCAGCCCCAGCCCCAGCAAGGCCCUCCAACGCCACUGCAGUUCCCUGGAUAGCAGGAAGAGGCCUGAGCCGGCUCUCCCGGAGCUCCAGGUGCAGAGUCUCCCCACAUGGGAGUCAGUGUUCUCAGAGCAGCAUUUGUUGACCUGAGCUAACCAAGUUCUCUAACUGAAAGCCUGGCUGUGUAAAGCCACAGAUGUCUGGCAUUAGAAUAGCUCAAGGACAGGAGAAAAAACUGACAAUCAGUCCAGAACGGCAUCCCAGGACUUCUGCUCUGAGGAGAAAACAGGACUAAACCCCAGCUGAGGUCUAUUUCCAACUCCAAGAUUCUGCAAUGUUAUCUCUGUUUAAAAAGAUAUCCCACUUUUUGAUGACAGUGUGUCUGGAAUUGGUGGGUUCUUGGUCUCACUGACUUCAAGAAUGCAGCUGCGGACCCUGGCGGUGAGUGUUACAGCUCUUAAAGGCGGCAUGUCCGGAGUUUGUUCCUUCUAGGUGGGUUCCUGGUCUCUCUGGCUCAGGAGUGAAGCUGCAGACCUUAGCGGUAAGCUGUUACAGCUCUUAAGUCAGCGCGUCUGGAGUCGUUCGCUCCUCCCGGUGGGUUCGUGGUCUCGCUAGCCUCAGGAGUGCAGCUGCAGACCUUCGUGGUGACUGCUACAGCUCAUAAAAGCAGUGUGGACCCAAAGACUGAGCAGUAGCAAGAUUUAUUGCAAAAGACGAAUGAACAAAGCUUCCACACGACAGACACAAACCCUAACAGAUUGCCACCGCUAGCUCGGAGAGCCUGCUUUUCUUCCCUUAUCUGGCUCCACCCACAUCCUGCUGAUUGGCCCAUUUUACAGAGAGCUGAUUGGUCUGUUUUACAGAGAGCUGAUUGGUCUGUUUUGACAGGGUGCUGAUUGGUGCGUUUACAAUCCUGAGCUAGACACAAAGGUUCUCCAAGUCCCCACCAGAUUAGCUAGACACAGGGUGCUGAUUGGUGCAUUUACAAACCUUGAGCUAGAUACAGAGUGCUGAUUGGUGUAUUCACAAUCCCUUAGCUAGACAUAAAUGUUCUCCAAGUCCCCACCAGAUCAGCUAGACACAGAGUGCUGAUUGGUGCAUUUACAAACCUUGAGCUAGAUACAGAGUGCUGAUUGGUGUAUUUACAAUCCCUUAGCUAGACAUAAAGAUUCUCCAAGUCCCCACCAGACUCA
rnacentral:lncRNA from 10 species